UGAACUUAAGCAUAUCAAUAAGCGGAGGAAAAGAAACCAACUGGGAUUACCUUAGUAACGGCGAGUGAAGCGGUAAAAGCUCAAAUUUGAAAUCUGGUACUUUCAGUGCCCGAGUUGUAAUUUGUAGAAUUUGUCUUUGAUUAGGUCCUUGUCUAUGUUCCUUGGAACAGGACGUCAUAGAGGGUGAGAAUCCCGUUUGGCGAGGAUACCUUUUCUCUGUAAGACUUUUUCGAAGAGUCGAGUUGUUUGGGAAUGCAGCUCAAAGUGGGUGGUAAAUUCCAUCUAAAGCUAAAUAUUGGCGAGAGACCGAUAGCGAACAAGUACAGUGAUGGAAAGAUGAAAAGAACUUUGAAAAGAGAGUGAAAAAGUACGUGAAAUUGUUGAAAGGGAAGGGCAUUUGAUCAGACAUGGUGUUUUUUGCAUGCACUCGCCUCUCGUGGGCUUGGGCCUCUCAAAAAUUUCACUGGGCCAACAUCAAUUCUGGCAGUAGGAUAAAUCAUUAAGAAUGUAGCUACCUCGGUAGUGUUAUAGCUUAUUGGAAUACUGCUAGCUGGGAUUGAGGACUGCGCUUCGGCAAGGAUGUUGGCAUAAUGGUUAAAU
rnacentral:rRNA from 1 species